AUACAGAGGGUGCGAGCGUUAAUCGGAAUUACUGGGCGUAAAGCGCGCGUAGGCGGCUUAUUAAGUCAGAUGUGAAAUCCCCGGGCUCAACCUGGGAACUGCAUCUGAUACUGGUAAGCUAGAGUUUUGGAGAGGGAAGUAGAAUUUCAGGUGUAGCGGUGAAAUGCAUAGAGAUCUGAAGGAAUACCAGUGGCGAAGGCGACUUCCUGGCCAAAAACUGACGCUGAGGUGCGAAAGCGUGGGUAGCAAACGGGAUUAGAAACCCCUAGUAGUCC
rnacentral:rRNA from 1 species